UGCUGCAGCCUGUGGGCCGUCUGUCCUCCCGAUAGACAGAGAGGCGGGUUCGCCUGGGCCCGAGUUGCGGGUCGUCCGAGCCGCUGCUUUGAGCCCACGAGGCAGUUUCUCCCAGCGGGAGCCUGCGUCUUGCCUGCCCCUGGCCCAGUUCCCAAACUCCAGUGGUUUCUCCCGGCUCUGCCUUCCCACUCUUUCAACCCCCGUUGCUUCUGCUUCCUUGCAUUCGACUGUGUCGCCGCCAUAAAAUAGACCAGGGCGGCCGGAUCCCCGCGGCUCAGAACAUGAGAUUUCCUCCCCGGCGGUGGGAGGCCUGACGUCUGAUUAGGAACGGAGCACAGGGCGUCAGCGCACCUGCAGCCUCGAGACUGGGGACAGGAUGACCCCCCCAGACCCCAAGGUGCCUUCGCUCACAGCUGGACCUCCCCCACUGUUCCCGGAAGCUCGCCCAGAACAUCUUUGGGCCACGGGAACCUGACUGGCCAGCGAAGCCUCCCCAAGGUUCCAAGCUUGAACUCGCGACACGGCCCUCCAGACUGUCGCGGCCGGCCCGGCUGCCCAGCGCAGGAUGUGGAGCUGCUUCCCCGGGAAGAGCUAGAGGACGUGCGGGGACAGCCGACGACCGAUGACCCCCGCUCAGGCCCGGCCCUGCCUUUCUCUGCGUCACCUUGAGUCACUGACUCAUUCUCUGAGCCCGAGAUGUCCUCCUCUGCAAAGUAGGGGUGCAAGUGGCCUGGAGGGGGAGGGCCUGGCAGACUCAGGCCGCGUGAGGCUCCGUUCAUGGUUGGGGGCGGCAGGCGGGUGCAGGUGGCCCACGGCUGGUCUGGGAGAAGCCCCCAAGGCCUGAGAAGAAUCCCCAGCGCUCCUUGUGGUGAAGGUCUGGGUGGACUUGGCUUCUUCCUUAGUCGCUCUGAUAAAGGCCGGUCAGAGGGGACCAGGGGUCUGGCCCCGGCACCCAGAAGUCUGACCGUCCCCACACCAAUGAUGUCCCACCAGUGGCCAGAAAGGCUGAUUUGGGGGUCCCUGGAUGGCCCUCCAGACGCGGUGCUCCUCCCCGCCAGACCCCUGCAGGGAUGGGGCAAAGUGAGUCCUGCUGGUGGCCCUGGACCGACCUGGGUGGGGAUUUGGGGCUGCCCUCUGGGGCUCCCCACCCACCCCCUCUGCCCCAGAGUGUCUCCAGUCUUCUCACCUUCCUUCUUCAUCCUUCAAAACCCUGCACCUCAAAAACCUGCGGCCUGAUCGAACCAAACUGGAAGACACAGGCUCCAGGCUCAGCGCUGACCUUGGGCAGGACAGUGGACCCACCGCGUGUACAGAGUCUUUCUGAGCAACGGGCCAGGCGGGGGC